CUGGGCUUUAACUGACGCUGAGGCUCGAAAGUGUGGGGAGCAAACAGGAUUAGAUACCCUGGUAGUCCACACUGUAAACGAUGAUUGCUAGGUGUGGGGGGUCUGACCCCUUCCGUGCCGGAGCUAACGCAAUAAGCAAUCCACCUGGGGAGUACGACCGCAAGGUUGAAACUCAAAGGAAUUGACGGGGACCCGCACAAGCAGUGGAUUAUGUGGUUUAAUUCGAAGCAACGCGAAGAACCUUACCAGCACUUGACAUCCAACUAACGAAAUAGAGAUAUAUUAGGUGCCCUUCGGGGAAAGUUGAGACAGGUGGUGCAUGGUUGUCGUCAGCUCGUGUCGUGAGAUGUUGGGUUAAGUCCCGCAACGAGCGCAACCCUCGCCAUUAGUUGCUACGCAAGAGCACUCUAAUGGGACCGCUACCGACAAGGUGGAGGAAGGUGGGGACGACGUCAAAUCAUCAUGCCCCUUAUGUGCUGGGCUACACACGUAAUACAAUGGCCAUCAACAGAGAGAAGCAAUACCGCGAGGUGGAGCAAAACUUCAAAAAUGGUCUCAGUUCGGACUGCAGGCUGCAACCCGCCUGCACGAAGUUGGAAUUGCUAGUAAUCGUGGAUCAGCAUGCCACGGUGAAUACGUUCCCGGGUCUUGUACACACCGCCCGUCACACCAUGGGAGCCGGUAACACCCGAAGUCAGUAGUCUAACCGCAAGGAGGACGCUGCCGAAGGUGGGAUUGGCGACUGGGGUGAAGUCGUAACAAGGUAGCCGUAUCGGAAGGUGCGGCUG
rnacentral:rRNA from 1 species